rnacentral:lncRNA from 1 species
GAGAGUUCUGGCGAGGGCUGCGGGAAGGAAAGGGGGCGGCGUCCUUCACAGGGAGGGUGCAGCUGACCUCCCUCCCCUUGUGCAGACUGGAAGAGAAUGGCCCAGAUCCUCUGGACUCCUCAGAUGAGCGGAUUCAGAGAGAAGCUUUUGAGAGCGUGCUGGCAGAGACAUUUUUCACAAAAGAGCCCUUGCGGUGCUGGUGUCCAUGGCGUGCCUGGGUGGAAAACGAGCUUAUAUAUGAAGAAGUCAGCGAGUGGACAAAGCCAGGCGCAAUGGAUAGCAAAGAUGUGGAAGUCUCCUCGAUUCAAGUUAGAAGAAAACCACAGCAUGGAGUCUGCUCUCAGCUGUUGGGGAAUUACUGAUGCCUUUGACUAAGUCAAGACUGACUUUUCCAGAAUAUCACCCAAGAGAUAAAGCCGUCCCUGUCCAAGUUUGUGCGCUAGCCCUUCAUGGAGGUCAGAGAGGAAGAAACAAAGGCAGCUGUGGCCUUGGCGGUCACAGUGUCAGAACGCACAAGCCCCAUAAAGAGGUUUCACGCAGGCCACCCAUCCCUUUUCAUUCUCCAGCAGAACAGGACAGAGAGCGUUCUGUUCUGCGGAAGGUCUUCCACUCUACAAGGCAAUCCCUCCAGCUGCUUUGCUGUAUUGUGCUGUCUCCUGUCACACUGAAUGCAGUGACCUCAGCCAGCAGCAGGGAGAACCCCCCUGCCUCCCGAACAAAGGACCUCACGUGAAAUCCUGAGCUCAGAGCUUACAGAUAUGUGUGUGCUUUCACUUUACAUCGGCCGUGACUUUCAAACAACUUCAGGAAACUUUAGGAUCUCUGAGGUACACUGGAGAUUACAGCAGCGUAGAAUGUUCUUUUGGAUUUAGAACAGAAAUGCUUAUUUUAUAUUUGGCUGCUCCCAAACUGUCCCCAGACCUCCUCUCCAGUGGUUACCCUCCACUGCCCUGGAUGUCCCACAUUCACACUCA